AGAGUUUGAUUCUGGCUCAGAACGAACGCUGGCGGCGUGGAUAAGACAUGCAAGUCGUGCGACAGACCAGGAAUUGAUUACUUCGGUUUGAUUUUCCUGACGAUGAGCGGCGAACGGGUGCGUAACACGUGAGAAACCUGCCUUGAAGUUCGGGAUAGCUCGGCGAAAGUCGAAUUAAUACCGGAUGUGGCCUAGGGAUAGCAUUUUCCCUUGGUUAAAGCUCGGUCACAGAGCGCUUUUAGAUGGUCUCGCGGUCUAUCAGCUUGUUGGUGAGGUAACGGCUCACCAAGGCUACGACGGAUAACUGAUCUGAGAGGAUGAUCAGUCACACUGGAACUGAGACACGGUCCAGACACCUACGGGUGGCAGCAGUCGAGAAUCAUUCACAAUGGGCGCAAGCCUGAUGGUGCGACGCCGCGUGGGGGAUGAAGGGCUUCGGUCUGUAAACCCCUGUCAUCUGUGAGUAAGGUCUCGUAUAAAAGCUACGAGGAUUGAUAUUAGCAGAAGAGGAAGGGACGGCUAACUCUGUGCCAGCAGCCGCGGUAAUACAGAGGUCCCAAGCGUUGUUCGGAUUUACUGGGCGUAAAGGGUGCGUAGGCGGUUAGAAAAGUUUGGUGUGAAAUCUUCGGGCUCAACCCGGAAACUGCACUGAAAACUAUUUAACUAGAGGAUCGGAGAGGAGAUUGGAAUUCUCAGUGUAGCAGUGAAAUGCGUAGAUAUUGAGAGGAACACCAGUUGCGAAGGCGGAUCUCUGGACGAUUCCUGACGCUGAGGCACGAAAGCUGGGGGAGCGAAGAGGAUUAGAUACCCUCGUAGUCCCAGCCGUAAACGGUGCGCACUUGCUGUGGGCGGAUUCGACCCCGUCCGUGGCGAAGCUAACGCGUUAAGUGCGCCGCCUGGGGAGUACGGUCGCAAGAUUAAAACUCAAAGAAAUUGACG
rnacentral:rRNA from 1 species